GGAGCACAGGAAAUUUAAACUGUCGAAGCAAGAAAUAAAAAUAAUACCUACAACCCUUAAAUAUAGCACUUUACAUUUUGUGAAGUGUUUCAGAGCCAUUUUCUCCUUGACACUACCUCCUCACUCCAUUUUUCCUUGGCCGCCGCUUAUCAUCUCUGGGUGCUGAAGUCUCUUGAUGUGAACAGAAUGGAGAACACUUUGGUCUUUACCUCUCACCUCUACACCUUUUGUUUCCCAGGAACAGAGGCCACAAAAGAGCUGUAAGAGCAGAGUGAAGCAGGCUCAUCCUGGUAAUUUGUAGUUUUGCAGAUAAAGAACACUUUCCUCAGCACAUGUGCAGUGGAUCCUGACACCAGAGCUUCAAAGAGGUCCCAAUUGGAGAGAAAAUGAGGAAAAGGAGGAACAGAUGGGACUAAAAGCAGAAGGCACCUGAUGAAAGAGAAAAAGCAAGGCUGGGGGAAGGGUGUUUAGAGAAGGACUGGGAGAACAAAAGCAAAGAAUCUGAAAUGAGAGCAUGCUUUCUUCCGUUCCCAUGAACUUCAGAAUGAGCCACAUCUUUACUCAAAGCCUCCUCUGCUAUUUAUAUGUGUGACCUUAGAGGAGUCUCAGCAGUGCCUGACAUAUAGUAAGUGCUCAAGAGAAAUUUUAUGAAUGAGCUAAUGAAUCUGCCUUUGCAAGAUAUGGAAACUGGGGUUCAGACAAGUUAUGCAUCUUGGCCAUGUCACACAAAUGGACCUACCAACUUCAUGACAUUGUUAUGCUCACUCCUGCCUCAGGCUUUGGGCCUUGAAAAUCUCUCCUCCUGCAGGUCUGCUGAUGGAUCUUCGCAGAGCUGGCUCCUUCCCAUAGCUUCAGAAGAGCCUUCUGGGGUCACCUCCUUUAAAAUUGCCCCUUCCACUCCCAUUACCCUAUUUAACAUUCUCCAUGACACUUACUACUCUCUGAAAUUACCUUAUUUUCUUAUCUCCCUUAUUAGAAUGUAAGUACUAGAGAAAUCAGACCAAUGAGACUAUUUCUUUCUCAUUCACAGCCUGCCUAGAGCAGCACAAACAAUGCAAAAACAAACCAAAAAAUGAAUAAGCGUGUGUAUGUAGGUCUCUUAGUACCAUGCUUGGCCCAUAACAAGUGCUUACUAGCUACUAGUUACUAAUUUUUUAGUAGUAGAGAUUUAAUAGGAAAGAUUAUAGGAAAAGAAACUCAAAACAAGGGAAUAGUGUGAAUUAAAGACUAGCUUUUCUUAAACUAUGUUGCCAAGGUAGUUUUACCCACAAGUCUGUGUCCUGGGCAAAAAUAGUGGAAAUUGGCUUCAGCGCAAUCACAAGACUUCUGGAGGAGUCUUUCACUCCGUAUGGAUCAAAAAUGGUGUGUUUCAACCAAGAGUAUGGCUUUGGACAUCUUCUCGUACAAUUCACAUAUUUGUCAGUCAUAUAAACAUUUCAAUUUCAAGAAUAGCAUCUAAUGUGCAAUUUAAUUUGGCCUCCAUUUUGUAACUCUCGGAGCUGCAAAUGUAGUUAUUUUCACUUGCAGCAAAUGGUUUGGUUGAAUAGUGCAUGGCUAUCCAGGACUGGCAGAAAGCAAAACACCAAUCGAUAAGAGCAAUAAAACUGGAAAUCCACAAGAUGUGUGGCCUGAAACAUGUAUAAUUUUUAAUUCAUAAUUUACUUAAAUGAUUGAUUCUCCCAAAAGAAAGAACUGAAAUAAGUGAUAAAUUGAAGUCUUACUGUGCAGAAAAAUGAAUACAGUGUUGAUAUGUCUUUAAGAUUUCUCCACAACCAACAGAGAAGAGAAGGUAACUUCUGGACCCUGAAGUAAAUCUUAUUUUUAUUUGGGGAAUUAUUUGGACAUAGCUGCUAUUGCCAAAAAAAGAUUAAUCCAUACUAUGCCCACCUCCCACAGGCUCUACAACCAUUCCAAAGAAAAACAGGUGAGGAGCUAAAUGAUGUUGCAAAAAUCAGUGAAUUUGGAAUAAAAAACAUCUGUAUUCAAAUAUUGACUCUGUGGUAGGUAAGACUAGAGGAUCAGACAGGAGGGCAAAUAUGUUGAAUCUUUACUUAAAGGCCAACUCCCUUGCUGCCUACUUUUUUUUUUUUAAGAGACAGAUUUUGCUGUUUCCCAAGCUGGAGUGCAGUGGCUAUUCACAAAUGCAAUCAUAGCACACUACAGCCUUGAAAUCCUGGGACCAAUCAGUCCUCCUUCCUCAGCCUCCUGAAUAGCUGGGACUACACCUACCUAUUUUUGUGCUCUACACUUAUCUAUUUCCCUUAAGAGCAUUUAUGCAUAUUUACAACUUCUGAUAUUUCUUCUUUUUUCUCAGAUUAUAUGAACCUCUGGACUCUGGAGUAAGCAUGCAUUUUGAGGUCCUGUGGUAAAGGCCUUGGUCAUGUCUGCAUAAAAGUCAGCAUGGGAUAUCCUCAAAGCUGCAAGGCUCCACCUAUGUAGACACUACUGGGAGCAGGAUGCCUGGGAGACGAAGCAGGGCAGCAUAAAUUUUUGUAGCAGAGGCAGCAUCUACAGGGGGUGUCUUUGUGUCUCGGAGGAUUGUUGCAAAAGAGUUCAUAAAUGUGCAGUUCCCUAUCUUCCCCAACCCUUCAAAGAUGGGAAAGAACUUCAUUUAGAUGUUCCAUCCUACCCCGUUUUUUUACUGAUCUGGGCAAUACCAGGUCCCCUUAACACACACACACACACACACACACACACACACACACACACACACACACACACACUUCCUGCAAUAUAUUGUGCUGAAAAUCAGCCUUGCUGUCACAGUUCCAUUAUCAGGAGAGUUUGGAGUAAUGCCCAGCCUAGUCUAUAAUGAAAAAUUGUGGCUCAGUGUCCUGAUUAAAACCAUAUCAUCCUUUCUUGUCUAUAGCUCCGUUCUUAAUUUCAGUCUAGCCCAAGACGCUAUCUAAGGUGGCUUGGAAUGCAGGCCCACAUGUUCCUUUCUGCUGUGAGUACAAGCAGAACAGGCAGAGCUGGGAUUCAAAUUGACCUCUCUCUGAUUCUGAACCCCAUGGUCUUUCCCAUGAAGAGAUCUAGUUUUUUUUGUUUUUGUUUUUGUUUUUUUUUUUCAUCUGUUAGGGGCUGUUAUGGGUUGACUUGUGUUUCCUCCAUCCUCCCUGAAAAAGAUAUUUUGUAGCCCUAACCUCUAGUACCCCAGAAUGUGACCAUAUUUGGAGAUACGGUCUUUAUAGAAAUAUUAAAGUUAAAAUAGGUUCAUUUGGUGUGAGCUCUAAUCCCAUAUGACUGGUGUCCUUAUGCACAGAGGAAAUAUGAAUACCAAGAAAGAGACACAGAGGAAUCAGAGAAAAGACAGACACCUAUGAGCCAAGGAGAAAGGCCUAGAACAGAUCCUUCCCUCACAAUCCUCAGAAGGAACCAAGCCUACCAACAACACCUUGAUCUCAGACAUUCAGCCUCCAAAACUGUGAUGCAAUCAGUGGUGCUUUGUUAUGCCAGUCCCAACAAACUAAUACAGGAGAAAUUCAGAGUUUUCAAACUGGAAGUGCAUGUCCGUGAACAUUAGAUUGUUGCAGCCAUCCAACUGUACAGUGCACAGCUCCAGAGGGCAGUAUUCCCAGGGUCACAUCAUGGUGCAUUCCUGCACUAGACGUCAUACACCACACAGCCUCACACAGUGGUCCCUGACCAAGCUGACACAGAUAGAGUCUCCUCCUGUGAGACAUCUGUUACAUAUGUUACAUGUGUUAAACCUGUUAUAAAUUCAGUUAAAUUGCCCUCAAAGUAAAGAUUAUAAAAGAAGGAUGUUAAGGGAGAUACUGUUGGAUUUGUUGCAGUGCAUUUAAAAAUAGAUAACUUCAAGGCCAUGGAAUAUGGGACUGUUUUUUAGCACAAAAUUAUAAAAGUGGAGAACUAAUAUAUGUUAACCUAUCGGGAAACUCAUCUGAGUAUGAGCUGGGCAGACGUUUUGAUUGUCUAUGGAGGGCUGGACUUCCCACUUUUCUCCCACUCAUCUGACAGGAUCAGUUUUUCAGGUGAUGAAUUAGGAACAAGGUGAGAAGGAGGUGGCUCUAGACACCCUGGAUAUAGCACUGUUUUCUGUUAAUGAGAUUCAGAUGGCCUGAUAAUUAAAGCUGUCUCCAAAACAGAAUGGCUUUCCUCAUCUAGCAUCCUUGGCACAGGGUAAUUCAACUGAAGACUGGGUUCAUUUAUCCAUUCAACUCCCUAAUAAAUACUUAUGGAGUAUUAGGCAAUGUCCUGGAUAUUGGAGGAAUACAAAGAAUAGUGCCAGUCAUAUCAAUCUUGCUCUCAAAGAGUUUAGGUUCUAAGGAGAAAUAAGGUAGAUGCGUAGAAAAUUCCAAUAUAGAAUAUAAAACUAUGUGUCACAGAAAAAGU
rnacentral:lncRNA from 1 species